AAGUCGUAACAAGGUUUCCGUAGGUGAACCUGCGGAAGGAUCAUUAUCCUUUAGCGUAGCGCUCUCUGAGCACUACAAGCGUAUACACUCUUUAGUGUUGCGUUAUAAUGCAUGGCGAAUGGGCCUCGUCCUAUUUGCUUUAAAAUCCGUGCUCGCUCGAGCCCGGUCGGGUACCUAUGUGUGCUGAUAAAGUACACACAAGCGAUAGAUGCUUGUCUAUCGUGUGGUGUAAAGAUUAUUCUCGCUUGAAGAAUAACGCCCGCUUAGCGCAAUUAAUUUUUACUACAAAUUUUAUAUCGCAUUUAAUUAUGUUGUAUGUGUAAUGCACUAUCUAGCUUCUUUUGAGCAAGAUAUUAACACAAAUACAACCCUAUGCGGUGGAUCAUUUGGCUC
rnacentral:misc_RNA from 1 species